rnacentral:rRNA from 1 species
UGGGGAAUCUUAGACAAUGGGGGAAACCCUGAUCUAGCCAUGCCGCGUGAGUGACGAAGGCCCUAGGGUCGUAAAGCUCUUUCGCUGGGGAAGAUAAUGACGGUACCCAGUAAAGAAACCCCGGCUAACUCCGUGCCAGCAGCCGCGGUAAUACGGAGGGGGUUAGCGUUGUUCGGAAUUACUGGGCGUAAAGCGCGCGUAGGCGGAUUGAAAAGUUGGGGGUGAAAUCCCGGGGCUCAACCCCGGAACUGCCUCCAAAACUAUCAGUCUAGAGUUCGAGAGAGGUGAGUGGAAUUCCGAGUGUAGAGGUGAAAUUCGUAGAUAUUCGGAGGAACACCAGUGGCGAAGGCGGCUCACUGGCUCGAUACUGACGCUGAGGUGCGAAAGCGUGGGGAGCAAACAGGAUUAGAUACCCCCGUAGUCC